CACGUAGGGUGCGAGCGUUGUCCGGAAUUAUUGGGCGUAAAGAGCUCGUAGGCGGUGUGUCGCGUCGGCCGUGAAAACUUGCAGCUUAACUGUGGGCGUGCGGUCGAUACGGGCAUCACUGGAGUUCGGCAGGGGAGACUGGAAUUCCUGGUGUAGCGGUGAAAUGCGCAGAUAUCAGGAGGAACACCGGUGGCGAAGGCGGGUCUCUGGGCCGAUACUGACGCUGAGGAGCGAAAGCGUGGGGAGCGAAAAGG
rnacentral:rRNA from 1 species